GCAACCCUGACGAAGCAACGCCGCGUGGAGGAUGAAGGCCCUAGUGGUCGUAAACUCCUGUCUAGAGGGACGAAAGCGAUCAAGGUGAAUAAUCUUGGUUGUUGACUGUACUUCUGGAGGAAGCUCCGGCCAACUCCGUGCCAGCAGCCGCGGUAAUACGGGGGGAGCAAGCGUUACUCGGAAUUAUUGGGCGUAAAGGGCGCGUAGGUGAUCCUGUAAGUCUCGUGUGAAAGCCCAGGGCUUAACCCUGGAAGUGCACGGGAAACUGCGGGAUUUGAGUUCCGGAGAGGAAGGCAGAAUUCCCGGUGUAGCGGUGAAAUGCGUAGAUAUCGGGAGGAAUACCAGUGGCGAAGGCGGCCUUCUGGACGGAUACUAACGCUGAGGCGCGAAAGCCAGGGGAGCAAACGGGAUUAGAUACCCCGGUAGUCCUGGCUGUAAACGAUGUGCACUUGGUGUGAGCCGGUUUUCGGUUCGUGCCGAAGUUAACGCGAUAAGUGCACCGCCUGGG
rnacentral:rRNA from 1 species